rnacentral:other from 1 species
AUUACCCUGGGACGUUUGUGAUUGUCUGGAGUGUUAUUGAGCCAAUACUCUGAAUAAGGGCGACGACUUCGGCGAGUUGGUGAGCAAGCCCGGUUCGGCCGGGAAGCCUGAAGGCUCGCGAGUCAUGCCCACCUGGAUAUGCCAGGUUCAAAACAAACGGGCAACACGGCCUCCCGGGGAUUAA